rnacentral:rRNA from 1 species
AGUGAACGCUGGCGGUAGGCCUAACACAUGCAAGUCGAACGGCAGCACAGGAGAGCUUGCUCUCUGGGUGGCGAGUGGCGGACGGGUGAGGAAUACAUCGGAAUCUACUUUUUCGUGGGGGAUAACGUAGGGAAAUUUACGCUAAUACCGCAUACGACCUACGGGUGAAAGCAGGGGAUCUUCGGACCUUGCGCGAUUGAAUGAGCCGAUGUCGGAUUAGCUAGUUGGCGGGGUAAAGGCCCAGCAAGGCGACGAUCCGUAGCUGGUCUGAGAGGAUGAUCAGCCACACUGGAACUGAGACACGGUCCAGACUCCGACGGGAGGCAGCAGUGGGAAUAUUGGACAAUGGGCGCAAGCCUGAUCCAGCCAUACCGCGUGGGUGAAGAAGGCCUUAGGGUUGUAAAGCCCUUUUGUUGGGAAAGAAAUCCAGCUGGUUAAUACCCGGUUGGGAUGGCGGUACCCAAAGAAUAAGCACCGGCUAACUUCGUGCCAGCCGCCGCGGUAA